rnacentral:rRNA from 1 species
UGCCGGACCUGACUGCUAUCGGAUUGGUACUAAGCCAUGCGAGUGAUCGUAGCAAUACGACGCAGACGGCUCAGUAACACGUAGUCAACCUAACUCAUGGAGGGGGAUAAUCUCGGGAAACUGAGGAUAAACCCUCAUAGAUAAUGGUGCCUGGAAUGGCCCAUUGUUGAAACAGUUUACUGCCGUGGGAUGGGACUGCGGCCUAUCAGCUUGUUGGUGAGGUAAUGGCCCACCAAGGCUAUAACAGGUACGGGCUCUGAGAGGAGAAGCCCGGAGAUGGGUACUGAGACACGGACCCAGGCCCUAUGGGGCGCAGCAGGCGAGAAACCUUAGCAAUGUGCGAAAGCACGACUGGGUCAGUCCGAGUGAUUUCUGAUAAAGGAAUCUUUUGCCCGUUGUAAACGCACGGGCGAAUAAGGGGUGGGCAAGUCUGGUGU